GUGCCCGUAGCUCAGCCCGGAUAGAGCGCUUCCCUGCGAAGGAAGAGGUCACAGGUUCAAAUCCUGUCGGGCACG
rnacentral:tRNA from 1 species